UACGGGGGGAGCAAGCGUUGUUCGGAUUUACUGGGCGUAAAGGGCGCGUAGGCGGCGCAACAAGUCACUUGUGAAAUCUCCGGGCUUAACCCGGAGCGGCCAAGUGAUACUGUCGUGCUAGAGUGCGGAAGGGGCUACUGGAAUUCUCGGUGGUAGCGGUGAAAAUGCGUAGAUAUCGAGAGGAACACCUGCGGCGAAGGCGGGUAGCUGGGCCGACACUGACGUGAAGCGCGAAAGCCGGG
rnacentral:rRNA from 1 species